rnacentral:piRNA from 1 species
UCAUUGAGGUUGGGUUGGUUGGUCCUCUGGUAGGUCAAGCUCCUGGCUGACAUGAGUGUAAUGUGAGGAUUAUUACAAGUUCUCUUUCAUUGGACGUCAGGAAGUUUCUCUGCUAUGUCCACAAAAGGUGGCUUGCCCCGUUGAUCUAGCAGAUGUCUUUGAUUAUUGGAGCUCUUCGACAGGCCCAAACCACCAAUAGGAUUCCCUAGAUAAAAUUUGUAGGAAUGUAUUUUAACUGUGCACACACAUAUUGUGAAAAUAUACAAGAAUGGAACAUAGCAUUUGUCCAGAAAGAAGGUGGUGUUAGGGGGGGUCUACAUAUUAGUAGAAAAACCAGGUAGCUCUCAUUAAAUCCAAAGGAGAAAGGACAGGGCAUAUUUUGUCCAUUAUUUAUAAGCCAAUAUAGAGCAGUAAAACUAUCUUUGACCUAUCAGAACAUGUAAGAACUAUAAUAUAUGUUACCUGUGCUAUACACACCUUCUCAUAGUAAUAUUUCAACCAACUUUUGGACAACCUCCAGGUGAGGCUGGGUUAGGCCUUUGGUUUUAGUGUAUGUGAGGGUGUAUCUAUGGUUGAUUGGUGCAUGGAACAUUAAUAGGUGGUGUUGAAUAUGCAUGACUAUAUAUGGGGAGGCCAAUGUUGAAAAGGUGUAUGGGGGGAAUCUGUUAGUGGGUUAAAGGUCAUGGAUGUGGAUUGUUGUAGCUAGUGCGAUUUUCAAAUGUAGGUGUAGAAUGGGAGUUGUAAGGAGAGGUUUUAUAGAUUGGGCUCGUAUCUGACUAAUCAGGUUCUGAGGUGCUUAUUUCGGAGUCAGUCUGGGGCGGUUUGUUUGAGGGUGAGAAUCUACCACAGCUGUGUGCGAAGGUGAGCACUGACUUCCAUAUUUUCUUGUUGGAAAAUAAUAUUUUGGUAGUGUUGGGAAUGUACCCUAUUUGUUUCACACAGUUAGAGAAUAGUAUGGAUCUGUGGUUAUCUAAUGGUGGACAUUCUAGGAAAAUGUGUUCUGUUGUCUUGGGUGGUCCGCAGCAGUGCCUACAUGAAGAACUGUCGUGUUUAGAUUUACUGUGUUUGUUAGCACCUAUCCAAGUGUGGCCUGUGAUGAAACCCGUGGUGAUGGCUGUGUCAGGUGUUAUAUGUUUGUGGGUGGUUUUGAGGGAAAUGGGUGUCAUGCCAAGGUUGCUGAGUAUAGUGGGGUUGGAUGUCUUAAAUUUGUUUUCCCAGGCUUCCCAUUGUUAGGAUGAGAGGAAGUUUAUUUUUGUUUUUUUCGAGGCCAGUUUGUAUUUGGGGUUAGUGAGAUUUGUAGCUGCUCCUAUCUUUGCUAGAGCAUCGGCUCGGCAGUUGCCCUCGAUGCCAGAGUGUCCCCUUACCCAGUGGAGUGUUAUUUUGCGUGUGGGAAGUAGGUCGUAUAAUAGUAUCUGACAUUUGUGGACAAUGGGGUGUAAGCAUCUGUGCCUUGAAAGGGUGCAUAAGAGGGAUAGGCAAUCUGAAAAAAUGCCUAUUGACAGGUUGUGAUCCAUGGUACGGAUGUCUUUUAGUGCUGUAAGUAAAGCAAAGCUUUCUGCCUGAAAUACUGUGCAGUGUUUGGAUAAGGAUAGGGAAGAUUCAAGGCAGGGGGUGGAGGGUAGGGAUGACAUUCUAAAUAUUCCUGAGCCAACACCGGAAGAGGUUUUGGAGCCAUCAGUGUAGUAUGAUAUAUCCGGGGUGGACUCCGGAAUCAAGAGGUGAGAGAGGUCACGGAGAAGGUGUGGUUGCGGGUAACUAUAAGGAGGUGGGGGGGUGUUCAACCUUAAAGGGGAGGGAAAUGGAGGGUUUGAAAAGGGAAGAGAGGAGUUUUAGCUUAUGGUCAAUAGGUAGGACUCGUAAGAGGGCAAACGAGGUGAAGGUGGGCACUGAGCGAAAUCCGUGUAUUGCAUGAAUACAGAAUUUGCGCUGAGUGGAACGUAGACGGCUUCGCCUGCUAUGGUGUCUGCUGCUUCAGCCCAAUUGGUGCUGCGUAUGAGAGUAUUGGUUCAAUAACGGAGUGGUAAAAUAAUUUUCUAGCCCUAUAACCGAAACCAUAAUAGUUGUUUGCACAGGAGCAAAGUCGGGGGAAGAGAUUGAGGAUUUUGUCGCAAAUUUUGUUGAGGUGAGGAGAGAAGGAGAAGCGAGAGUUAAAAUUUACACCUAGGAUGGUCAUGUCUUCGACGCAUGGAAUAGUGGAGUUCUGGAUGUUCUGGAAGAUUGUUGUUUUCAAGUAGAUGGGAUAAACGGUGGCAGAGGAGACUCAAAUAUUUUGCUGAAGGCAGAAAAAAGGGUAUUUGGGCGGUGGCUAGAAGUGAAAUCACCAUCUGAGUGCGGUUUGGGGACGAGUGCGAGUCUACCUAUUUUCCAAGCAAUGGGGAAGUCUCCGAGGGUUAGGCAAGAAUUGUAUAGGAGCAAAAAGAAGUCAUGGAAUGAAGAGACCAUCCACUUGGCAAAUUUGCCAGGGAUAUGGUCUGAGCCUGGUGCUUUCCUGGGUUUUAGGGAGGAGCAUGCAAUGCGUGAUUCGACUGAAGUAAAAGGUGGGUCAGGGUGGGAUAUAGGAUGAUGACAGGGUGUUGAAUAGUGGAAGUGUGCUGGUCUAGUAUCUGGGGGUGGAUUGGAGAAGGUAUUUAGUAUGGAGUUGAGGUAUUUCGGGACUGAGUGGGAGAGGAGGUUCUUUUCAAAAGAGGUGGAAGAGAGGGGGUUGGGGUUCUGGGAGCCUUUCUUAAUGAAUUUGUGUAGGCUUCCCCAUGGGUAGUUUACGAAGGACCCGCUGAACAUUCUGAAUUCCCUUCUUUUGGCUCUUUUGCAUUCUCUGUAAAACCAAGCUCUCAUAUGGAGGAAAUCUUUGUGGACCUGAUCUCUGUUGGGGGGUUGAGGGAUUUGUAUAAUCUACGAAGUUUUUUUGUUUCCCUUUUUAACUGCUGUAAAAAUGGUGACCACCGUAGCUGGGGCAGGGUGACUAGGUUUGUUGGGUAUCUGAGUAGGAUUAUCUGUGCAUGCGUCGGAGAUGGAGGUGUGUAAUUUUUCUAUUACAGUGUCUAGGUCAGAGGGUGAGGAGCUAGAGAUGAGGUUUUUGUAGAUGUCCCCUGAAGGGGAGAGGAGUGGGGAAAGAUUUCUAAAUAGAGAGCUUGAAAUGUAAGAAUUAAGAUGGAAUUUUGGUGCGGGGUGUAAUGGAGAGUGUUUUGGCAAGGUGGGGUGUGGUGCAAGAGGAGUUUGUAGUGAAAAGGAGAUGGUGAAGUGGUCAGAGAAACAGUUAUCCGUUGCCUUCCAGUCGGAGAUAUUGGUGAGGAGAUGAGAGGAGAUGGAUGUGAUGUCUAUGGAGGAAGAAUGUUUGUCAUUGGACCAGGUUAUAGUACUAUGGGUGUUACAACCUUGAGGUCGAGGGAAUCGAGAAGGAGGUUAAGGUGGGAUCCUUUGCCUCGUUGGGGACGGUUGCUCCAGCGGGUGGAGUCAGCGUUAACGUCACCAGCGAAGAUAAGGUUAGGUAGCGGAUUGGAGUGAAAAAGAUUUGUCAAGGAGGUGGUUACUGAGUUAUAGUCUGAUUUGGGACGGAUAUAGAUAGAACAAAGGGUUAGGUGUAGGUUUGGAAGGUCAAGGAUGGCAACGGUACGAUCUGUAGAUGAAAGGUUGGGUAAGAAAAGAAUUGGCAAGGAUUGAUUUAAAAUUAUCAUACUCUGGAUUAGCGGAAACAAUACCACUGUCUAAAAAAAAAAUAAAUGUCAAAACAAAAGGGCGCCAUGCAUUGUAGAGGAUUGUAGAGGUUGGUGGCAUGUUUAGUGUGUUCGUUUACUCUAUCUUUGGUGUUGGGUGUAGGGACGGAGAUGUUAGUGGGGGUGUGUGAUUUGUUGUUGUGUAAAAAAUAUUUGUUCAUAAUCUCGUCGUAUGCUUUUUUGGUGUAGUGAAGUUCUUGUUUUCUAUGUGUUAGUGUGUGUUUGAAUGCUCUAAUGAUGCCUUCGCACGCUGCUGCAGUGUGAUCGAAUAUAGUGUUAUCGCAUUUGUGAUGCUGGAGGUUUUUGCCCAGAAUGAUAUUAGUAAGAAUAAGAGAUUCUUCUUAGAGCUAUUAUAUUACAAUCUAUAAAAUAAAAGAAGACAAGUAUCUUGUCUUCUUUUAUUUUAUAGAUUGUAAUAUAAUGAUAUUAGUGUUGCGAGCCCAAUCUAUUAUGUCAUCGUUAGUCAUGGUAUUGAGUUGUUCAGUAUCUGGUAAUUCAGGAUAUUUAAAAACUUCAGAUAAGACGUGGGUAGGAUGGUUUAUGGGUGUUGUACAGUAUGUGUUAUGGGUGGGCGUAGCGUUUAUAUUGUCCAUAGUUGUUAGUUGAGGGGUAUUUAGGGUAAACAGGGGGGAUUGACUGAGGGCGGUAUAUAACCCGCUCCUUAGUUGCAUGUGUAAACAGUUGUAUAAACAAUUUUAGUGUGACUAAAAAAUGUAUCAAUAUUUUAAAGAGGCUAGGUUGAAUGUUUGGUUAGAUACUAACAAAGAGAAAAAAAUAAAAUAAAAAUAAACCUUUGGCGGCCGUCCGGGAGAGCCUAAAAGGCAGUAGUGACCUUGUAUUCUUCAGUUUUGGGAGGUUGGUAGUGGUAUGGCUAGUAGGGGGCAGUAGAACCAGUAGGGUAGCAGUAGAGCCAGGGAAGCAUUCAGAAAAUCCGCCGCGUUCAUAGUUGAGAAUAUCCAAGAGUAAUCCAAGAGUGUAGGUGUGCACUGCUCGGUGGCCAGGGACGUGAAUGAUGAUUCACGCUCGUUGGCGUGGAAGUGUUAAAUGGCCGAGUGCGGCCGCCCUGGAGAUCCCGCAUUUUGAUUGGCUGCGGGCGGAAAAAAUCCGGGGAGGAUAAAUGGCGUUUGGCGGCCGUCCAAGAGAUCCGGGGAAUUAAAUAAUUUUUAUCCUCGUCUGGUUUCUUGGUGAAUUGGGGCUGGGCGUCCAAGGAUGUAUCCUUGUAGGACCGUUGGGGAACAGGAGCACAGGAGACCAGGGGCACUAUAGAGAAAUUCCUAUUUAGCUUCGGCAUAGGUGGGCAGGGAGAGGAUGUUUGCAAUUUUUGUUCAAGGAGAUGAGUGAGGAGGUUUGUGGAGUUGUAGGCCUCGAGGAGGCGUUGUUGGUGUAUUUUCGAGAUGUGUGCGAAAUUUUUUUUAGAGCAAAGCGGAAACCAUCAGCAAGGGUGGGGUCAACAGAGUCAGCAUAAGGGGCAAGGAUGUGAUAGACCCAGUUUAGAUGUAGGAGGUGUGAGGGGUUGUUGGUUGGGAACAUAUCACAUGUGGGUGGAGGUGAGUCAAGGGUGUAGUGUUGUUGAGGUGGUUGGCGUAGGUGGAGUGGUGUGUGUACAUGUGUGGAUGAGGUAGGGUGAAGAAGGGUGGAGGAGCUCACCCCUGGUCGACUGCCAAGGUCCAGAUUCCCGCCGAUGGUAGGGUCGAGCAGGGAGUUGAACAUGCUCGGGUGGACAAGCUUCGCGUGUCUGAAAGAGGUGCGAAAUCUAUUAUAUAAUUUCUUAUAAAAUAUCUUUAACACGCUUCUAACAGGCUCACAAGCUUUUCUCCACGCCCUUUCAACUUUUUGAGUAGCCCUUUGGAGCGGAUUUAGUUCAGGUUUCCACCAAGUGGGUUUCUUAAAAUAAAAAAUAUUGGUGGAAAGUUUAGAGGGAAUGGUUUGAAGACAGGAGUGAAUCACCUCGUCUUCUAGUAAAUUAAUUACUUCAUCAACUUGAGUUGUGUCACUCGCGUCCAGUAAGGAGGAGAUUCUAGACAUUUUUUUAUUAAAGUGAGGAAAAAAAUCCCAGUCGGCGCGACCAAAGCUGAAGUGUACUUCGCUAAAGUUGUUUACGUGUAUGUCGUUAUUGCUGUUAGAAGAGGGGGGUUCAAAAUUAACGUUAAACUUGAGGCGUUUAUGGUCAGAUAAAGCCUGGUUGAUUGCAUUCCAAUCGGCGAUCCCUUCCGCGAGGCCAGCAGAACAACACGUGACGUCGAUGGAGGAGGACCUCUCGCCCUCCUUCCACGUGAUCGUGCCGUGUUUGUUGACAACGUGGAGCAAGUUAGCGUCAAGGAAGUUUUCGACAAUUUCUCUUUUAGAGCAUUUGUAUUUAAGCAACCGCGCUUUAUUUGACCAUCUAUAGGAUUCAAUAUUAAAGUCGCCGCAGGGAGGAGUUGAACCGGUAGUACUUGGUUCAGCACCACAAUAGCCGCACUGCAUUUGUUGUUAGAAAUGGGGGCAUGCAAGAUAGAGGAAGGUGGAAUAGGGUGGGCAGACGGAAGUCGGUUGUUUGAAACAGGAAGUUCUUGCAGCAGUAGGAUAUCUACGGCUUUAGAAGAAGCUUCCUGGAGAAUGGAAUGGAAACAUGCAAAUGAACGAUUGCAAUUUAAUUGCAAAAAAAGAGAUUUGCAUGUGUGUUGAACCAAGUUAUGGAAACUCUCCUCCACCAUUCGUAUGACCGGACAGGCAAAUGAGUCUGCCCUGUGACCAUUCUGAUCCGGCUUGCAGCGGAAACAACUGGGGCUAGCACCAGUUGUGGGACAGUCCGCAAUCUUGUGGGCAAGCCCACAAUGAAGGCAACGCACCGGGCCAGAACAAGAAUUGGUCCUGUGCCUGAGACUACCACAGGACCUGCAGGGGAAGGUAGCCCUAGUCCUGUCAAUGGACAGAGAAGAGAAUCCGAAAUAGAUUCUCUUUUUGCCCUCCAGAGCGGUGGCAACGAUGUUUUUGGUCUCAAACACCGCAUGGACCCGACCGUUCCGCGCUGAGAUAGUUCGGAUGAGUCGGCAGUCAGUAUCCUGACAUUCGACCGACCGGACAAACAUGGUGGUAAGAUCCUCCUCAUUGGUAAUGUCAAGUACAUUAAGAUGGUGAAGCGAUGGUGGAAAGAGGGAGGUGUAGAUAUUUUGAUAUUUGUAUUUUUGGUAAGGUCCACCAGUUUACGGUGCAGUUUAGUAAAAUCCUCUUUUGACCUAGUGUGUAUGGUAAUUUUAUACCUGGAAGUAUUUAUAUGGGACCCAGGAACCCCCAAAGCGGAGAAAGAAGACAUAUUAGAAAGCCUAAGGCUAAGAGGCUGAGCCUCCUUGGGGUCCUGUGUGAUAGUAAGGUGAAACGGGUUAUUGGUCAAAGUAAACAUGGGGUGGUCUUUGGUUGGGUAGGGACAGGUCCCCGACUAGCUGAGGGGGCUGAGCUAGCAGGUUGCACAGAAGGACGGCUUGAGGCCAUGGCAGAGUACGAAAGGGGAGCGGCAGUAGCGGAAGUGUCAACAGGGGUGGCAAGUGUACUUAUGGUAGAGAUACCAGGCUCAGCAAGAGUGGCUGAGGUGGCAUCAACAACAACAUGUGGGUGGGCAAAUUGCUGCUGUUUUGAUUGGGAAGCCAUCUGUAAUAAGAGUCCAGAGGAAAAAUCCAAUUCAGAGAUACAACGUUCAUAGUCGGCCCUAAGAUGUAAAAGAAUUUCCUUAAGUUCAGAAAGAACUGAGGAACCAAGUUCAGCAGAAAAUUCAGAAAUGGAAUUAGAGAUAGUCUUAAUUGAGAUGGCUGCCCAAUCAAAAAUAUCAAAACAAUUGCUAGAAGUAGUACAUUUAGAAAAGGCCACAAAAUUAGGUGGCGGCUCCAAGGAAAUGGUAGGCAAAGGAAAGUCCUCAAUGUCAACAAUAGUAUUAGGUUGGUAAGAAUGGGAGGAAGAAAAAGAUUCAGAUUCAGAAGGAGAGGGAGAAAGAGAGCGAGAUUGAGAUGAACUCACAGGUUUUAGGUUAUCCGGGUCCAGAGUAAGGCGCUGAGUGGCGUUGCGCAUAUGAUCUGGGGAGUAAGUCAGCUGAGGGUCUUGGCCGGCGGGAAGGGUCUCGGUAGGGCCCGCGGCGCAGUCAGCGGCGGCGCACGGGGUGUCUUAGGCCUAGUCGACCGUCCGCUGCAGAGCUUCCGCUCGGUGGACAUCGCCGCGGAGGUAGGGAAGGCGGGCGGGGGCUUGGUAAAAGAGCUGUCUUCACGGCAAAAACUUGAAAAAAGUAAAAAUAGCCGCGAAAUUUCGGCCGUUCAGGAGAGCUCGAAUUUUCUGAUUGGCGGACACUCGAAAAAAUAGCGGAAUUUGCGGCCGCUGCGGAGAGCACGAAUUUUCCAAUUGGCAGCGGGAGAUGGCGGCCGUCACAGAGAUGACCGACGACGGGAGCGAUGUGUACUCGGCGCACCCCACGCUCUGACUGACAAUGGUUAUAGCUAAUUGACCAAAUGGGAUGGCCUUCUAGCUCUACUACUGGCUGAAAUGAAUCAGUCUGACUACGGCAAAUCAGCGUGCGGCGUCCAAUUUCAACCGCGGCCCUCUAACCCUUGGGUGAUUAGAGAUGGCGCUUGGUGAAAUCCUGUCCACAAGCCAGCUGGCAAAUUACAAGUUUGACAUCGCAAUAUCCCCCGCGACAACACCCAAGGAACCACCAAGCCCGCCACCCAACGCAACGCAAGCAGGGGCGGCGCGAGACGCAUCUCCAACCCCAUCCGCGAAGAGACACGAGGCGCCCCCAAGGCGCCCCUGGAGAGUGUGAAACGUGCUGAUGCUGUAAGAACAUAGGUGAGUAUCCCUGGGUCAGAGGGAAAGAGAGGAAGAGGUUUCAAGUUAAGAAAGGUGAGCAAUUGUGAAAAGGUUGAUUUAAAAAAAAAGAGAAAGAAUUACUAAUAAUAAUAAAAUAAAAAUAAAAAUGGCAAUAAUUGAAUAAAUAAAUAAGGAGAUAAGUGAGAAUAGUAGAAAAAUUAAAGUAAUAGUAUUAUUAAUAAUAAAAUUAAGUAAGAUUAGAAAAAGAAAGAAUAAAAAUAUUUUAAUAAUAAUAGUAAGAAUAAAAUAAAGAAUUAAAGAAGGAAAAAGAUUUAGAAGAGGACAGGAUAGAAAAAAUGGAUAUAUAGAGAAGAGCACACAGCGCCUGGGGAUGUUGGUGUAGAACAAAAAAAAAGGACCUUAUCAAAGGAGCCAGAAAAUUUUUUCUUUUGAGGAGAAAGUAAUUUCAGAGUACAAAAUCUGGAAGUACUAAAUCGCAUCUUUUGCCAACCAAUGAAAAUGAGCGGCCGCCAGACCACAAAACCCCCGGUUGUGACGUCGCGCGAUUAAUCGACCAAUCAGCGUGCAGCGUCCAAUUUCAACCGCGGCCCUCUAACCCUUGGGUGAUUAGAGACGGCGCUUGGUGAAAUCCCGUCCACAAGCAAGCUGGCAAAUUAAGUUUGACAUCGCAUACAUAAUUAGUGAUACAUGCAUAUGCAGGUAAAACACUGAUGUAAAGUUUAGGUGGAAUUAGAGUCGGGAAUCUCCUCUGAUUCCACCUCUCGGAUCCGCGGUCUCAGCCUGUCGCAAGCCAGGAGAAAAUCGAUACAGGCUCGCCAGGUUAAACAACUGUGGGUGAAGUCGUGAAGCGCCCUCGGCGUGUAACCGAGUUCCCUCCCCGCUAUAAAAAAUAGACGAGUUCUGAGGGAGUCCAGACUGUCAAACUCGAGCAUGAUUUCGCGAGCACAUCAGCUACUUCAUUACCAAAAAUCCCGCUGUGGCCUUUGAUCCAAUGUAUGGUACAUCUGUUCCCAUUGCGGUUCAGUUGUGAAAUCAGCAACAAGGCUCUGUUGACCAGGAGGUUGCCAGUUCUGGAGUUUAGAGCAGAUUUCACAACUGAGAGGUUAUCCGGGAGAAUUUCAAUGGUGUAAUUGUCGGGAAGCUUUGAAGCGUCCUCAAGUGCCUUAAGCAAGCCAAGUGCCUCCGCUUGGAAGACAGAACAGUACGGGGACAGGACAAAGCUUUCACGCAGUUCAUUCAUGGAGCCAUUCUCACACACUCUAUAUAGGCCUGUGCCAACUCCAGUUUUCGUCUUGGAACCAUCUGUGUAGUAGGUGACGUCAGCCGAAAGAUCAGGAAUAUUAAUGGGAGCGGAGUAAUAGGGAGGAUAGGGAAGCAGGUGAGGGCAGGGGGGAGGCUCGACUGGAAAAUCAGCGUCAACAAAACUGCUUUUUAAAAUACAAUUCCGCCUUAGCGCCAACAUCCAGAUCGAGAGGAAGAACACGUGAAAGAGAUAUAAGAGAGCUAUUGGGAGUAGAUUUAAACGCGCGGCAAGUCCUGAUGAGGAACGGGCGCUGCGCGCUUAAGAGAGUAUUUAAAGAGCGUUGUUUAAGAUUAGGAAACCACACAGGAGAAGCGUAAGAGAUGGCUGGGACCACGACCUGUAGAUAGAGCAUCCUCAGGGCACGGAAACCAAAGCCAAAAUUGGAGUUGGCGGCUGCUGUCAAACGCGGGAGAAAUCCGCGGACUCUGGUGCAAACCUCAACCACAUUGUUGUGUUGUGCCCGUUGUUUUGUCAAUAAUCCACUCUGAGUCGUCGGAGCUCCCUUGGUACCGGUUUUAUUUAUAACCAGUGCCGGAACAUAAAGGGAAUACCACACACAGCUGGACGCGGAGUUAGUCCUCCCUCCAGCCGACACCAAAACAAACUGGCGAGAUCCAGUUUCGGCUGGUUCCCGCCGUCACCUCGGCGCCGCUCGGCGCUUGAAAAUUCUUGCCUGAACCCUCAACAUCUCCCCCAAAAAGUUUAGAGGAGGUUAGCGCUGGACACGAUUGUAUCUCUUCUCCCAUACCGCGACACUUUCCCAGGUGAGGGAGACAGCUGCUUUAUCUCUGGAGCGAUUGCUGGCAGCUGUUGUUGCUCCUCUGCAGGCAGUUCAUUUCCCGGAGUUUCCUCCGUUUCAGCAGGGAGUUCACUGUCAGGAGAUGUCUCACUGGGGUCGACCUGUUGUUGGGAAGAAGCCAGAAGAAGAGAGUUCCGCCUGUAGGUCCCUACAGGAGUUUCCACGAUGUAUGAGCGAAGUGCUGAAGCCUUCUCAAGGACACUUCCCCACGCUCGAAGAUCCUUCACCCAAACUUUCUCUCCUGCAAUUAGUUCCGCCUUUUUCGUGGCCGCAUGGCGUCUGUCAAAAGCCGUUUUCAUAUUUCAUAUAGCCGUUUUCAUAAGUCCGUUUGCCAGGGGUGUUGCCCGAUACUCCAUGAGUGCUAGGACCGGAUCUUUAUUCUUUUUCAUCAGGUUUUUCACAAUUUUGACAGCAGCCUCUGCUUGACCAUUUGAUUGUGGAUGCUUUGGGCUGGAAGUGAUGUGUCGAAACCCAACUUCAGAGGCAAACUUCGUAAAAGCUGAAGUUGUUGAUGGGCGAAAUUGUGGUCCGUUAUCACUGAUUAUAAUGUCAGGGAUGCCAUGACGAGCAAAGAUAGCUUUGCAGUGAUCUACCACAGCUUCCGAGGAAAGUUUAGUAAGUCGUACGACCUCGAUAAAUCGAGAAAAGUAGUCUACGACGACUAAAUACUCACUUCCCUCGUAAUGGAAGAGAUCCAUCCCGACCUUUUGCCACGGUCUUUCCGGAAAGUCGUUGGGGAUGAGUGGUUCGUGCUUUAGAGGUUGAUUCUCUAUGCAUUUCUCACAGGUUUUUACCAUAUCCUGGAUUUCUUGACCUAUUCCUGGCCACCAAACAUGAUCCUUUGCUCUUGCUCGACAUUUUGUUAUUCCUUGAUGACCUGCGUGGACGCGGUUCAAAACAUCUUUUCGCAUGUUAGAGGGGAUGAUCACUCGCAGUCCUCUCAUUAGUAAGCCGUUCUCUUCCCCUAUCUCGUCGCGAACAUCGUAGAACGAGCGUUCUAAGGGAGAGAGCUGACAUUUGGCGGGCCAACCGUUUUUGGAAUAAAAUGCCACAUUUUGAAGGGUAGGCUCCAGCUUCUGGUUUGAGGCACCAGUCUCUUCGGAGGCGUGGGUUCGGAUCCCACCGCUGCCACCAUGUUGUGUUGUGCCCGUUGUUUUGUCAAUAAUCCACUCUGAGUCGUCGGAGCUCCCUUGGUACCGGUUUUAUUUAUAACCAGUGCCGGAACAUAGAGGGAAUACCACACACAGCUAGACGCGGAGUUAGUCCUCCCUCCAGCCGACACCAAAACAAACUGGCGAGAUCCAGUUUCGGCCGGUUCCCGCCGUCACCUCGGCGCCGCUCGGCGCUUGAGAAUUCUUGCCUGAACCCUCAACACACAUGCUGGUGGAAGGUGAGACGCCGAUCAAACCUUACUCCCAGCACUUUGAUUGAGUUGCUCCAUUGAAUGGGUUGACCAUUAAUGGUUAGAUCGCAGCUAGGUAUAAGUAGCCUGCCAGUACGUCUUAGAAGGAGCAUGGCCUGACACUUCCUCACGCUGAGUUCCAGUUUAUGCAGGCCACACCACCUCGUGAUCUCAUUAAUGGCAAGUUGCGCCGCUCCAAGUUGCUGAGUAACUUGGCCCGACACCACCAUAACAAGUUCGUCGGCGUAGGCCUGCGGGUGUACACAUUUUUUAAAAUUGAGCGUGAGGAGCUCGUCAAAGACAAGGUUCCAAAGAAACGGCCCAAGAACUGACCCCUGCGGGCAGCCUUUGGAAACCUGCCUCGUGACCGUGCAACCAUUCAUAGACAGUCUGACAACACAGUUAUUAAGGAAGGAGCGAAUCAGGACAAACAGGUUUUUAGGACAAUCAUUCAUACACAGAGCUCGCAAUAUGCUGGAGUGUAGCACAUUGUCAAAAGCGCCUUUCACAUCAAAGGAAAGAAGAAUAGAAGAUUUUCUAUGUUGAAGCGACCGGGAGAGAUUAUUUUUUAAAUUUAGAAGUGCGGCGACAGUAGAUCUGCAAGGCCUGAAACCGAACUGGUUUGGCUGGGCUUUACACAUCCUCUCAGCUCGCCACGAGAGCCUGGCCAGGAUAAGACGCUCUAGAAUUUUACCUAAGCCAGGCAGCAUCGUGAUGGGCCGAUGAGACACGAGAAAGUCCUCACCACCUUUUUUGGGAAUGAGUAUGACAUCACCCAGUUUCCAAGGGGUUGGAAAGUGUCCAGUUUCAAAGCACUUAUUAAAGAUCUUUAAAAAGAACGUCGGGAAUUUUUUAAUUAAUUUAACAAUGAGAAGAGGUGGCAUACCAUCACUGCCAGGAGCAGAAGUAAGGCUAACCUUAUCCGCAGCCAGUAGCAGUUCUAUUUCUGAGAACGGUGGGUCGUUAUCAGAGGUGGACUGCACGGCUUUAUGUAAGUUAACAUGCUCUACUGUUAUAUCGGGUGGGACGCGGCCGAAGUAAUGUUUUAAUACAUGUUCUAGAGUGUCCCGCGGACUGUCAGUGAGAUCAUCGCCAACCAGGAUAGAGGAAAGAGGCUUCCUCUUGGUGGAGCCUUUAAUAAAUUUAUAAACGCCGCCCCAGGGGUUAACCUCACAAAGCGAACAGAUCCUUCUCCAUUCAGCAGACUUCGCGACAUUCAUUCAACAAUGAGUACAAACAAUAUGGAGAGCAUCUUACAUUGGCUUGAACACACUUAAAAACGUUCAUUUUACCCACAAUUUAUUGAAAUUGUCCUGUGCCUCCCGCAUGUGUUUACACGCCAUGGAGUUGGUACUGUGUUUGUCACCACACCUGUGACAUUUCAAAGUUGUUUUAUUUUCACAUGUUUCGGAAAGAUGUGCACCAGCGCAGUGGCUACAUUUAGCCGCCCUAGUGCACUUCUUUCCGUUGGUGUGGGUUUUGUGACUUAAGCUGCCACAGACACCACAUGGGAAGACGCGCUUUGCUCUACCGAGUCUCAGCGAGUGGAAGUCGAUCGUGAUCCUACCACGCUCGAGUAAGACAGUCUCAACAUCCUUGUUAACCUCAACUAUCGCGGUGGAGGUGGCAUUCUCUUUUUAAAUUAAUUUUACCAUCUUUAUGUUUUCGCCGCUUUUCAGCAGCGGUACAACUGCGGGAUGGCUACUGAUAUCAGCCACAAGUUGCUCUUCAGUUUUCUCUCCGGGAAUACCAAAGAUGGCAAGCCUGGGCUUGAAUGUGGGGUUUGUUUGGACUUUAAGUCCACCAAUGUUGGCGGACUUAAUGUUGUCCACAAACCUCAUUUUCUCAGAGGGGUUGGCGAAGUGGAGGACAAGUUUUUUGUCCCCCCCUGUCACCGCGGCUACAUCACAGUUUUUCAGACUGGGAGUCUGGGCGAUUUUCUCUCUAAUUUCGCUAACAGUGAGGUCCGCGGAAGCGAGCUUCACGUGAUUAAUGCUGUUACGCAGCAUGUGCGCGUAACUGGGUUUGGUUGGAAUGGCAGGCUUAGCACCUGCAUUGGUUGGCUGGGUGACUUUUGUCACCGCUGGGGUUGGUUUGGGAGGAGGUGUGGGAGCGACGGUUGUUGUUUUUUUCUUUAAGGCUGAUAGUUCAGCCCUGAUUUCUGCGACUUUAAGGUCGCAGCACUUCAGCUUAUGCUGGAGGAUCCCCACAGCAGUGUUUUGGAGAUCGGAGAGCAGACCAUCCAUAUUUCGAAAGAAACACCUAUUAGAUGGGGAGCCUAGGUCCCCGCUAAUUCUUGCCCCAACCUCAUGUUGAAAGAUUUCACGGAAGCCUUUGAAAGAUGUGUUAAUUUCUUCCCACCCUUCCCUAAAUGCCGUGUUAGAGUUAAUAGGAGUUAAGGGAGGAGGAGAAGAAGGAGUGACCCGGGGAAACUCACCCAGAGUUGGGGCAGAAGAAGCGGAGGUAUCCGCCGCCAUAGCUGAAUAAUCCAAGAGAGUAAUCCACGCGAAAUAGUAGAAAGAGCAAUCCAAGAGCAAGAGUGUUCCAGGGAUGUGUGCACAGUUUGGAGUCAGGUACGCGAAUCUGAGCGAUGGAGGCGCCCCACGCUCGUUGGCGUGUUGAAUUAUAUCUCCCUCCGCUGUAAGCUUUCGGAUCAAGCUUUUUCGGAGAACAUACGCUGGACAACACAAGGUAAACCGCCAGCCGCAGCUGGAAGGCAGAAUUUGGUAGGCCCGGAAGGCUGUGAGGGCACCGACACAGGGAAGUGGAAGCCGGAGAGAGUUGGCUAAGGGUCGUGGCUGAGGGGAAAAGGCUGUGCCAAGUACACCAAGUACAGGCGGCAAGUAAAUCUGCUGAAAACUUUAUUGAUUAGUCACAAUCAAGUACAGGAGGGGAAGUAAAUAGGAUCAUGGGUACAAGUGGCUAUUUACAAGCAGUAGGGGUGGGAAACAAUGGGAGGUAGGUGGAAAAGAUGGCAAGUGAGCAUGAUGAUGAAGGGGUUACAAGGUUGGGUUGGCACAUGGGGUUCCAGGAGGGAUAUUUACAGGGAGACAGAAAGGGGGAUUAGGUAAAAGUUACAAAGAGUCAUCAGAGGAUGGACAAUUCUCAGGCACGAAUCUACCACAGUUGUUGCCAAGAGAGAGCUGGAUGUGGCAAAAUCAGAGAGGGUGGUUGGAAUCCUACCGGUAAUGGACAGGCAGGAAUGAAACAAGGUAGCCCUGAGGUCGUCAAGGUGGGGACAGUUGAAAAAGAUAUGGUCUACUGUUUCCGGAGCAAGAUGGCAGUCAGGGCACGUGACAUCACGCAAGAGGUCCCUCCUCCUAUACCUGUAGGAUCCAAUGAAGGAGUGGCCGGUGAGAAAACCUGUGAUGAUUUGUGAUGAGGGGUGUAUAUACUUAUGUUCGUUGAGGAGCGAAAGAGGGGAGAUUUUGAAGACCUGAAAGAUGGUGGGGUUUUUGUCACGGAAUUCAAUAUCCCAGCGGUCCCAGAAGCUGCGCGAGGUGAACCUGUGCAGGUGGUUUUGGGAAGCCAAGGUAUAUAGUGGGGGCGAUGAUGAAUCUGCGGCGGCGGAGCGCGCCAGCUGAUCGGCUAGACAAUUACCGAAAAUCCCUGCAUGGCCUUUGACCCAGUGUAGGGUGAUAGAUCUAGGGGGAGGAGGGAAAAGAGCAACCUCUGUAUCUUGAACACCAAAGGAAACCUUGUAUCGAGGUUGGAGAUGGCGUGUAGAAGGGAAAGGCAGUCCAAGAAGAUCCCAACCGAGAGGUUAGGAGGAAGGGUGGAGGCGUCCCGUAGCGCCGUGAGGAGGGCAAAGCUUUCGGCCUGAAACACGCCGCAGUGAGUGGCAAGAUGUAGGGAGAGGGACAAAGGUGGAAUCCCAAGGGAGGAAGAGGAAAUUCUGGCGACGCCUGAACCAACCCCCUCUUUGGUUUUGGAGCCAUCGGUGAAUGUAUAGUCGUCGGCGGGCGUGAAACCCGAGGCCUGAGCGGGCGUUGCAGCAUCCCUUGAGGCGGCCUAGAAUGGACAGGGCACGGUCGCAUACCCAUUGGAGGUGGGAGUCGAAGGUGAACCUGUCAUUGAAGACCACCCCGAGGGCCCUUAGCCUAUCCGUCCAUGGGAGAACAGUGUCCUGUAGAGUCAGAGAGGGAGGGUUAGUAAAGAUAGGGAGGACCUCACAUUUGUGAGGAGUGAGGGUCAGCUUAUUGCCCAGACACCAGUCGGAGACGAGAUCGAUGGAGAGCUGGGCGCGGGAGGUCAGAAUGCCUGGGGGACCUGACACUACGAUCUGAAGGUCGCCCGCGAAUACCUGUAUAUGAACGCCGGGUGGGUAGGGAAGGGAUAGGACAGGGUUGAAGGCAAUGUUCCAGACGUGGGGGCCACUCCUAGAUCCCUGGGGGCACCCUCGGGAGGGAAGCAUAGAAAAAGAGCAGUUUUUGUAAGAAAGGGUGACUAUGGUCACUGAGGAAGGAGUGGUAAAGGGCCUGGAGGGUGGGUGAGCUGAGUAAGGAAGGACGGGUGCCAUAGGUGGUCAAAGGCCGACUUGAUGUCGAGACUGAUGAGGAGGGCGCAUUGGUGGGAACGUAUAGACUCCGAAACUUUGGUCUUGAGUAGGGCGAGAGUGUCCGCAGCACUUCUCCCUUUCCUGAAACCAAACUGAUUGGGGUGGAGGAGACCGUUGGAUUCAAAGUGGUGCGAUAGUCUAAAGGAGAGCAUGCUCUCGAGGGUUUUACCCAGGAUAGGGAGAAGCACUAUCGGGCGGUUUUGGGAGGUGAAAUCCUCAGCACUCAAUUUCUUGGGGACCAGUACAACUCGUCCUACUUUCCAGAGCUUGGGGAAGUGGCAAAGAGAAAAGCAUUUGUUAAAGAGGUUGAAGAAAAAGGUGGAGAAGGAGGAAAGUAGCCAUUUGGCGAAUUGACCGGGCAUCAAGUCAGGACCAUGGGACUUUUUAGGGUUGAGGGCCCGUAGAGCAAGGUGGAAUUCUAGAGUAGAAAAAGGGAGAUCAGGUGGGGGAGGGGUAGAGUGAAUAGGGGGGGGAGGGAAGGAAGUGAGAUGGGCGGGAAUUUGGAGGAGGCUCUGAAAAGUAGACGUCCAAGACGCUCGUUGGCGUCUCUACUAUUAUUCCGCCUUCUACAUGCAUGAAUGGGAGCAUUCUAAGGCUCAAAAAUAUUAAGCUGGAUGGGAUUCCGGUCUCUGAAAAUGACAGGCCGCGCAUUGGGGUUGGAGAGGCGUAGGCAGUGCAAGUAAGCGCCCCGGGGGAGAAGAUGCCUAGGGUGUGGCUAUGGAGGGCAACAAGAUUAGUGCUGGGCGCAGCGUCAGGUUCCAUAUGGCCAUCCAGGAGGGGUCUUCUAUGGAGGUGUAGGUCAGUUCUUGGUCCGGUGGUCCAGGAGGAGUGCUGAAAUAAGACCGUCCAGAGCGUCCCUAUGCCCAAGAAGACCGAGGAGAAGCAAAUCCAUCCCGCAAAUCUUCUUUUAUUAUUUCUAAUUUUAUUUCUGGUGCACACAUUACAAUUAACAAGGGGGAGGUACAUAUUGGGGCAAACAACGAAGUAUACAUAUAGGUAAAAAUUAGGCGAGAGGAAGAUGGGGAGAUAUAUUUACAAAGUAAGGAGUAUUAAAGGGAAGCCGCGGAUUGCGUUGAUACAGAAUUUCCUCUGAAUAGACCGGAGGUUUGAUUUACCAAUGCGGAGUUUAGCCGCCUCGCUCCAGAUGGGGGCGGCGUACGUGAUGGCAGAUUCGACCACUCCGAGGUAGAAUCGUCUCCUGGCAACAAAUCCGAAUCCGGAAACUGAAUUUGAGCAUUGACGGACCCUGCCUAGAAGGGAGGAGGCCUUCCUCGCAAACCCUGUGGAGGUGAGGUGUAAAACUAAGUCGGUCGUCGAAGGUGACCCCAAGGAUAGUAAGGGUAUUGGGACAGGAGAGGGGUGUGCCAUUGAUAAGAAGUUGGGGCGGGUUACAAAAGAUAGGAAGCACGAGAGAUUUAUGGGGGGUAAGAGAGAGCUUAUUAUCAAGGCACCAGGAGUGAAUAAGGUCAAGAGCAGAUUGAGCGAGGGAGGGAAGGUGAAGUGAAGGACCGGAGACGAGGAUUUGAAUGUCGUCGGCGAACGCUUGCACAUGGACACCAGGAGGGAAAGGAAGAGAUAGGAGGGGAUUGAAAAAGAUGUUCCAAAGGAGAGGCCCGCUGACAGAGCCUUGUGCGCAGCCUCUCAAGGGGGAGGUGGAGCGGGAGUAUCCUCGGUAGGAAAAGUGAAUUGAACGGUUGGAAAGGAAGGAGCGGUAGAGUUGAAGUAGGGUGGGGGGGCAAGAGGCAGCCUCGAGUCGGCCGAAUAGGGCAGGGUGCCAGAGGUGUUCAAAUGCGGAUUUGAUAUCCAGGCUGAUGAGGAGGCAGCAUUGAAAGCGGGAGAUGGCUCGUCUGAUAUGGGUGCGUAGGAGGGAGAGAGCAUCGGUGGUGGAGCGUCUCCGCGGAAGCCGAAUUGCAGGGGGUGGAGUAGGCCGUUACUCUCGAAGUUAUGAGAGAGCCGGAAAGCCAUGAGGCUCUCGAGCAGCUUUCCGAGGAUGGGGAGGAGGACAAUGGGGCGGCAUUUGCUAUUGAAGUCGUCCGAGUCUGUUUUUUUGGGGAGUAGGACGAGGCGACCGACUUUCCAGAGGGAAGGGAAGUGUCUUAAGGAAAAGCAGGUGUUGAAUAAGUUCAGGAAAAAGUUGGGGAAGGAGUCAACGAGCCAUUUAGAGAAGGGACCAGGGAGGAAGUCGAGGCCGUAGGACCUCUUAAGGCGAAGGCGGCGGAGGGCCAGGGAGAGUUCUAUGGCUGUAAAAGGGGGGUCAGAGGGGGGGUUAGGGGGGUUGAGAGGGUAAGGGGAGAGGUGGAAGGGGCAUGAGUCGGGGGGGGGGGGAGGGUUGAAGAAGAAGUCUAGGGUGGUUUGGAGACGGUCCCUAAUGGAGUAGUGAAGGAGAGAUUUUUGAAAACUGUUGGAGGAGAGAGGAAGAGAGCGGGAGGAGCCUCGAGUGAUGAAGCGGUGGAUGGUCCCCCAGGGGUUGUGCGUAAAGGAGGAGCAGACCAUUCGGAAGUGUCUCCUUUUGGCUUUAAAUAGAGCUCGGACAUAUUCUUUCUUUGCCUGAAGGGCCUGAUCUUUAAGAAUAGCACGCUGGGGAGGAGAGCUGUUCUGGAAGGAUUGCCGGAGUUUCCGGGAAAAGGACUUCAGGGACUGAAGCUGGGGGGACCACCAGGGGACAGGAGGGGGGUAGUUAGAUUUGGAAGGGCGGGUGCGGAGGUGGCUGGAACAGUUGAUAAAGAGGAUGGAAUAAAAAGAUCGUAGCAAGGAGUCAAGAGAUUCAGGAGAGGAGCAGUUACUCAGGGUGGAAAUAAGGUGGCCGGAGUUGGUGAAGUGCCUUGCCAGGGAGUUAAAGAGGACCAGGGGGGGCUGGGCUUGGAAAUGGAGGGGAGAGAAGUCUGGGAAUGGGGAUGGGGGAGGAGGAGGGGUUGAAGGAAGAGUAAGAGGGGGGCAGGGGAGGGAGAAACGGAUCUCGAAGUGAUCUGAAAGAUCAAAGGGAUUGGAGGACCAGUCAGAAAUGGAAGGUCUGAGGGCAGAGGAGAUGCUGGAGAUGUCAAUGGAGGAGGAGAAAUCGCCUUGGGAGCGGGUGAUGGCACCUCUGGAAUUGCAAACCUUAAGAUCAAGGGCAUCAAGAAGGUUGUUUAUAUGAGAACCCUUCCCGUUUUGCUUUUGGAGGCUCCAGUGGGAAGAGAUGGCAUUGACGUCUCCAGCGAAUAUAAGGCGAGGAGGAGGUGGAGAGCCGAAGAGAGUGAUGAAGGAGUCUAUGAUGGGAGAAUAAGGAGCUUUGUGAGGAAAGUAGACAGAGCAGAUAGUGAGAUGGAAGCCUGGAAUAUCGAGAAUGGCCAGGGUGCGAUUGGUGGUAGAAAGGCGAGGAAGACCACAGGUAGGCUCUGGUUGAGAACCACGAUGCAGGUGCUGCACCUGUUCUGUGAGAUGGGAGCGUGAAGGAAAGAGGCGGAAGGGAUGGGGAAGGGAGAGGGGAGAAGGCCCUUGCGGACCGGCAGCUCUUGAAGUAGUAGGAUAUCAAUGUGAGAGGACUGCGUGGUUUGGAGGACAGAGAGGAAGCAGGGGAGGGAACGGUUGCAAUUUAGUUGCAGGAACCUGAUCAUGGGAUUCCAUGCGAAGUGAGGAAGGCCAACUCUUCCGCUUUAAUGAUCGGGCAGGCAAGGGAAUCCGCCGGGUGAUGAUUGUUAAUGCUGCACCGGAAGCAUCUAGGGGGAGAGGAGAUUGCUGUGCAGUCGUCGAUGGUGUGACCCUCCCCACAAUGCAAACACUUGGCCCGUUUUGUGCAGUUGUUGUGUUGGCGUAGGUCGCUGCAGGAGCAGCAAGGGUGUGUAGUUCUAGUCCGCUCGAACCUGAUGGAGCUGAACCCUAUGAAUAGGCGAGAGCGCGACUGGAGGUCUCUGGCUGUAGCGGUGUCUGUCUCUAUGAUUGCGUGUAAAUUGUUGUUGCGCGCGGCCAUUGUGCGGACUAGCCUACAGCCGGCGCCCACGGAAUGCUCAAGUAGUUUGGGAAGGUCGUCUGUUGGGAGAGAGUCAGGAAUGUUGAAAAGGGUAUAACGUGGUUUGAAUGUAGGGGGCAGGCGUACCUUGAUGUCUGUUCCCAGAAUACAUUUGGAACAAGUGCAUUUAGCGAAAUUGCAAUGUUGCUGUUACGUGUGCGGUGUAUGUUGGUGAUUGGUGUGGUGGACGUGGUAAGGGAGGAGAUGGAAAUAUUUCUGUAUAGGUUGGUGUCAAUGGGGGUGUUGAUGGAGGGGUCUUGGGUGAUUAGUAUAUGGAAGGGGUUGUUGCGGUUGGAGGGGGGUGUGGGGCGGUGGGAUGGGAUGUGUGUGGUGUGGCGGGGAGAGGGGAUGGGGGGAGAGGGAGUAGCAGAAGGGGGAAGGGAGGCGGCUCUGGCAAAAGAGUCAGGAGUAGGAAGGAGAGGAGGAUUUGGGAUGGAGGGGGUGGGUGGGGGUUGAGGGAUGGGGGGAGAAGGAGGGAGAGGGUUAGAAGGUGAAGGAUGAGUAGUUUUAGGAGGAGGAAUGGAGGGGGUUAGCGUGGUAGUGGAAGAGACAGUGGGGUGGUGUGAGGGUGUUUGCGUAAGUAUGUGUGUCAGGGUGUUGGUGUUUUGGUCGACCUCUAUGAAGCGCUGGGUGUAUGUACGUGUGAGGUGUGCAAAUGUUUUGUCGAGGGUGGAUCUGAAAUGGUCGGCGAUUGCAGGAGUUAGAUGAUUGGAAAAAGGAGCUAGGAGGUGGUAGGCCCAGGAAAGAGGGAGGAAGUGGGAGUUGUUGUUGGUGGGGAAUAGGCUGCAUAUAUUUGGGGGGGAGUCAAUGAAAAAGUCGGAAUUGCGAGGGUGGUGUAGCCUGUAGGGAGUGUGGGUGGUGGUGGCAGGGGGAUGAGGAGGGGCAGGUUCACUCACCCCUGGUUGACCGUUGAGAGGGCCGCCGAUUGUGCAGUCCAGGUGACUGUCGAAGAUUCUGGAGCGUAGUUCAUCCCUGGAGGAGUCCGCAUUUGAAGUGGAGGUGCCGUCUUGGGGAGAGUUGGUGGAGUCCUCCCUGGAAGAAGAAGAGGUAUCUGGGGGGGGGGGUGUAGUAUCCAGGAGGGGUGUGGGAGAGGGGGUUCUAUUAGGGGUGGAUCCUCGGCGGGUGGGGGAGCGGAGGACUGGUACGCUGGGGUGGACAGGUGAGUCGCUGGGCACGCGGCGGCGCGAGGUGGUGCCGUUGCCUGGGGAGGGGAGCUUGGAUUUCCGCGCGGCGGACGGAGAGACCGCGCUCCUCGGCGUUGAGGUGUCAAAUGGCCGCUUGCGGCCGCUCUGGAGAGCCCGCGUUUUCAUUGGCCGCGGGCGAGAAAAAUCCGGGGAGGAUGAAUGUCGUAUGGCGGCUGUUCAAGAGGUCCGGGGAAUAAAAAAAUAAUUUUUAUCCUCUUUCUGGUUUGAUGGAUUUGGGCUGGGCGCUGGGGAACAGGAGCACAGUAGCACAGGAGACCAGAAGCACUAUGAAAAGAAAUUCCUAUAUAGCCUCCUUGAAUAUACUGACACCACCAAAAAAAAGUGUGUGCCCUUACUUCAGGCAGUAUCCCUGUGCCUUACCACUGGUGGGGGGUCACUAGGGACUGGCAAGAAGCGAUCCUAAUUCAAGGGAAGCUUUUGACUCCAAGAGUAUCCAGAAUCCUUACCACUGGUGGGGGGAAUAACUGGACUCGUUGAAGUUAUCCGACGCUCGUUGGCGUGGAAGUGUUAAAUAGCCGAGUGCGGCCGCCCUGGAGAUCCCGCAUUUUGAUUGGCUGCGGGCGGAAAAAAUCCGGAGAGGAUAAAUGGCGUUUGGCGGCCGUCCAAGAGAUCCGGGGAAUUAAAUAAUUUUUAUUGUCGUCUGGUUUCUUGGUGAAUUGGGGCUGGGCGUCCAAGGAUGUAUCCUUGUAGGACCGCUGGGGAACCGGAGCACAGGAGCCCAUGGGCACUAUAGAGAAAUUCCUAUUUAGCUUCGGCAUAGGUGGGCAGGGAGAGGAUGUUUGCAAUUUUUGUUCAAGGAGAUGAGUGAGGAGGUUUGUGGAGUUGUUGGCCUCGAGGAUUCCCGCCGAUGGUAGGGUCGAGCAGGGAGUUGAACAUGCUCGGGUGGACAAGCUUUGCGUGUCUGAUAGAGGUGGGAAAUCUAUUAUAUAAUUUCUUAUAAAAUAUCUUUAACACGCUUCUAACAGGCUCACGAGCUUUUCUCCACGCCCUUUCAACUUUUUGAGUAGCCCUUUGGAGUGGAUUUAGUUCAGGUUUCCACCAAGUGGGUUUCUUAAAAAAUAUAUAUUGGUGGAAGGUUUAGAGGGAAUGGUUUGAAGACAGGAGUGAAACACCUCGUCUUCUAGUAAAUUAAUUACUUCAUCAACUUGAGUUGUGUCACUCGCGUCCAGUAACUUCGCUAAAGUUGUUUACGUGUAUGUUGUUAUUGCUGUUAGAAGAGAGGGGUUCAAAAUUAACGUUAAACAUGAGGCGUUUAUGGUCAGAUAAAGCCUGGUUGAUUGCAUUCCAAUCGGCGAUCCCGUCCGCGAGGCCAGCAGAACAACACGUGACGUCGAUGGAGGAGGACCUCUCGCCCUCCUCCCACGUGAUCGUGCCGUGUUUGUUGACAACGUGGAGCAAGUUAGCGUCAAGGAAGUUUUCGACAAUUUCUCUUUUAGAGCAUUUGUAUUUAGCCACCGCGCUUUAUUUGACCAUCUAUAGGAUUCAAUAUUAAAGUCGCCGCAAAAAAUCACCUCGUGGGAAUUAAUUGUUUUUAAAGAGUUGUCUAUCCUAUCAAGAAGAGCAUCGGAACAACAUGAUGGUGAAAGAUAAACAGUACACAGAAGGAUUGACAAGUCAUUCACUUCACACAGGACAAAUACAGCAUUUACACAAGACAAGUGAGACAAGUAUGAAUUUUAAAUUCGGAUUUGCUAUUAUUACAGCCGCUCCCAAUUUAUUUUCAAUUAUUGGACCGUAGCAAACCCUGUCAAGGGGCACAGGUAAUGACAGUAAAUUGUUUUUGGAAACUGGGAGUUCUUGCAACAAUAGCACAACCGUUGGACUCAAAGUGGUGCGAGAGUCUAAGGGAGAGCAUGCUUUCGAGGCUUUUACCCAGGAUAGGGAGAAGUACGAUCGGACGGUUUUGAGAGGUGAAGUCCUUCGGCAUUAAAAUUCUUGGGGACCAGCACAACUCGGCCUACUUUCCAGAGCUUGGGGAAAUAGCGUAGAGAAAAGCAUUUGUUGAAGAGUUUGAAGAAAAAGGUGGAGAAGGAGGAAAGUAGCCAUUUGUCAAAUUGACCGGGCAUCAAGUCAGGACCAUGAGAUUUUUUAGGAUUGAGGGUCCGUAGAGCUAAAUGGAACUCGAGAAGAGAAAAGGGGAGAUCAGGUGAGGGAGGGGAGGAAGUGAGAUGGACGGGAAUUAGGAGGAGGCUCUGAAAAGUAGACGUCCAGGAUGUCCUUGAGGUUAGCAGGAAUGUUCUGUUGAGUAGAGAGGGUUUCAAACCUCCUUGAACAGAACGGGCUGCGCAGAGAGAACCCUCGAGAGACAAAGCAGUGGAUAGGACCCCAAGGAUUAUUGGUGAAUGAGGAGGUAAAUUCCCGGAAGUGCCUUCUCUUGGCCUUGAGGAUGGUCCUAUUGUAUUUGUUUCGGAGUCUUGCGUAACCCUCGCGGUAGCUGUCGCGGAGAGGAGGAGCCAUAGUUUUCAUCUUCCUACAGAGUCUCCUGGACAACGUUUUCAGUCUCUGGAGCUCAGAGUUACACCAGGGAAGGAGGGGAGAGGAACAGCAUCAAAUUGGUGCCGUUUUAUAAGGCGCCCCAAAGUCUAAACCUGGGUAGCUGAGAGCCAAUCAAAAUGGAGAGUUGAUGGCGACCGCUUUUGAACGAUUUGCUGACAUUGGCCACUUUUAUCUUUCUUUUCUAUAUUAUUUUCAUUUUUUUUUUACCCUGUGUAUUUUGGCUUUUAAUGUGUGAAAAUAAUAAAACCACAAGCUGCUCUUCAGUUUUCUCAGUAGGAAUCCCGAAUAUAGCAAGCCUUGGCUUGAAUAUAGGAUUCGUCUGGACUUUUAAGUCCAACAAUGUUGGCGGACUUGUCCACGAACCUCUUUAUUUUCAGAGGAGUUGGCGAAGUAGAAGACAGAUUUCUUGUCCCCCCCCCAGUCACAGCGGCUACAUCAACAUUCCUUAAACAGGGAGUUUGGGUGAUUUUUGCCAAUUUCACUAACAGACAGCUCCGCAUGAUUAAUGCUGUUAUGCAGCAUAUGCACGUAACUUGGUCGUGUAGGUUUGGUUGGCUUAACACCAACAUUGGUUGGCUGGGUGACUUUUGUUACCACAGGGGCUGGUUUGGGUGGUGGUGCAGGUUUGGCAUUUUUAGCAGAGGCUGCUUAUUGCGCCCUAAUCACUAAAAUCACCCUAAUUGCCACCUAGUCCUACACCAACUUCAUAUUGUAGGAUCUGCCUAAAGCUCCGGGUUUCGGGACAGGAGAGGGGGGUGUUGUCAAUUAGAAGAUGGGGAGGGUUGCAGAAAAUGGGUAGAACCAGGGACUUAUGGGGGGUGAGGGAGAGUUUGUUGUCAAGGCACCAGGAAUGGAUGAGGUCAAGAGAGGAUUGAGCGAGGGAAGGGAGACUAUUUACUUUUUAUUUUGCCAAUUUUAUUUGUCUUGAAAGGAAUAGUCUGUAUGCAUGAGUGAAACACUUCAUCUCUGAGUAUUGAAGGAAUAGAAGGCAAGCUGCCUUUAUCAACUAGGAGUUGUUGUAAUAAUAGCACAUCUGCUUUCUCAUUGGAACAUUCAUUCCACAAAGAGGAGAAACAAUAAGGAGUGUCUUACAUUGGCUUGAACACACCUGAGCAUGUUCAUUGCACCAUUAAUUUAUUGAAGUUCUCCUGGGCGUCCCGCAUGUGCUUACAUGCCAUUGAGUUAGCUCUGUUCCUGCCACCACACCUGUGGCAUUUCAGCACACCCUUGUUGUCACAGGCCUCGGACAGAUGUGCACCAGUGCAGUGGCCGCCCUGUUACACUUCUUACCGUUGGUGUGGGUCUUGUGACUAAGGCUGCCACAGACACCGCAAGGAAAGACGCGCUUAGCCCUUGCGAGUCUCAGGUAGAGGUAGUCUAUUGUAAUCCUACCGCACUCGAGUAGAGCAGUCUCAACUGCCUUAUUCACCUCUCCGAGGUAGAAGCGUCUCCUGGCGAAUGGAGGGGAUGGAGAUUUUCGUAUAUAGGUUGGUGUCGAUGGGGAUGUUGAUGGAGGGGUCUUGUGUUAUUAAUAUAUGGAAGGGGUUGUUGCGGUUGGAGGGGGGUGUGGGGCGGUGAGGUAGAAUGUGUGUGGUGUGUGGGGGGAGGGAGGUGGCUCUGGCAAAUGAGCCAGAAGUAGGUAGGAGAGGAUUUGGAAGCGGGAAGGAGGGGGUUGGGGGGGGGGGGGGAGGGUGUGAGAGGAUUAAGAGGGGAAGGAUGAGGGGUUUUAGGAGAGGGGAUGGGAGGGUUUAGAGUGGAAGGUUAAGUGGGGCGGUGUGAGGGUGGAUGUGUUAGUAUGUGUGUGAGAAUGUUGUUUGUAUGGUUGGCCUCUAUGAGGCACUGGCUGUAUGUUUGUGUGAGGUGUGAGAAUGUUAUGUCGAGGGUAAUUUCAAAUUAGUCUGCGUUUAAGGGGGUGAGGAUACUGGCGAAUGGAGCAAGGAGUCUCAGAGAGGAGUAAUCAAUGGAAAAAUGCUCGAGCAGAGCAGCCUCGAUAUCUUUGUUUACCUCUAAUAUCGCUGUGGAGGGUGAACCCUCGUUCCUUAUCAGUUUAACAAUUCUACAAUCGGCGUCGUUUUUCAACAUUUUCUCGACAGCAGGAUGGCACCUAAUAUCAGCCGCAAGCUGCUCCUCGGUUUUCUCAGCUGGAACCCCAAAGAUAGUGGGCCUGGGCUAAAAUUAGGGUUCGACUGGACUUAAGACCGCCAAUGUUAGCGGUCUUAACCUUGUCAACAAACCUCUUUUUUCAAAGGGAUUAGUGAAGUGGAGGACCAGUUUUUUAUCCUAGCCCCAGUCACAGCAGCAACAUCCAAGUUCUUCAAACUGGGAGUCUGAGCAAUUUUUGCCCUUAGCUCCUUGACAGAAAGAUCGGCGGAAGCCAACUUAACAUGUUUGGCACUGUUACGCAGCAUCUGAGCUUAGCUGGGUCGUGAGGGCUUGGUCAGAUUAACACUGACACUAGCUGGCGGCGUGACUUUUGUCACUGGAGCGGAUUUGAGGCGACUUUUAGGUCGCAGGCCUUCAGUUUGUUGGCCAGAAUGUCAAACAAGGAGUGCUGCAGACUCGUCAACAUCCCGUUAAUUUUAUGGUACAUGACCCAGUAAGGUGAUGCACCCAUGUCCUUACCCAGGACCGUUCCUAUCUCCCCAUACACCAUAGUUAGACAUUCAGUGAAAUUGGUGCCUAUUUGUUCCCACCCUUCGCCGAAUGCCUGGUUGGAAUCAAGAGGCCUGAUGGGUGAAGUAGAGGGAGAGACCCGGGGAUACUCACCAGUGGGAGGGAUCUCGGGUUGAACAAGCCUGAUUCCAUGCCAAGAGGGGUCCAUUGUAUUAGCGUCGCUUUUUUUAUUAUUGCAUCUAGCCAGGGGGGUGUCCAUCAUGCCGUCGAGGGAUGAUCGGUGGAGCCUCGCUCGUAAGCUUUUAAAAUACUCAAAACAAAAUGACUCAUGUAGAACUUGAGCCAAAAAAAGGAAAAACUCCGCAGGUUGUGGGGAUGGGUGAUACAUGGGCACGGAAUGUGCUGGUUGACAGUCAAUAUGAACAAGUUGGUACAGAUGGGUACGAUGUGGAAGGGAUGACAGAAGUUUACAACAAUAUAUGUACAACAAACAAAAUGAGCAAGAUAAACAACAAGGGGGAAUGUGGGAACGUAUGACAGACUACGGGCUAUGGAUUACAAUAGGGAAAAAUCAUCAGACUGUGGAAUAUUUUCGGGCACAAACCUACCACAGUUGUUGCCGAAUUCACACUCAGAAUGCCAAAGAACACUGGAGUCGGCGAACUCAGAGAGGGUGGUUGGAAUUUAAAUCUCUCUUCAGAAACUGGCUUGUUAGAAUAAGCUUCCUUUGCUCGUCCAAGUUUUCAACAGAAUCUCUUCUGGAAAAGAUAAAUUUAAGCAACCGUGCUUUAUUUGACCAACUGUCAAAAAAUUACCUCGUGGAAAUUGAUUGAUUUUAAAGAGAGGUCUAUCUUGUCAAGAAGGGCGUCAGGACAACAUGAUGGCGAAAGAUAAACAGUAAACAGAGGGAUUGACAUGUCAUUCACUUCACAUAGAACAUUCACACACGACAAAUGUUCAUCACCUGUUUUCUCCAGACUUUCCCCACAUUAUAGUUGAGCCCUACCUGAAGCACAGUGGUUGUACCUGAAGGUCAUCAGUAUCUCUUCAGUUAUUUCUUCUCAUUUAAAUUAGGAUUAACAAAUUGUGCAACAUUUGUUCUGAGCUAUUUCUUGUAUACAAAUAAAAUGUCAUUUGUGAUCAUCUAUAAAUUUUGUUCACAGAAAUUGCUUCCCCCAAUGAAUCUUGUCAGGGGAAAAUUUGUAGCUUUCACCAGAAUUUUUAUUACUACUUCUAGUGUUUUUCUAUUGAAAUUUCUUAGUCCUCCAAGUAUUAAUGCCUUUUAUAUUUUUGAGUAUUUUAUAAAAGCCUUAGAGAUUGAAUUGUCCUCUUAUUUUAUUUCCUUUUGGCCCCAUAAGAGCUAUCCAGAUUAUUAAAUGUUAAUGUGAUAAAUUGUUGUGGUUUACAAUACAUACAUUAUCCCAUAGUAUCAUUAAGAGGAGCCUAUCAUGGUAGAAUUUGUUGUGGGUCCUGUUCUAGUCUGGUGGCUUCCAUGCAUGUCUACCCACCCAUAUAGUGGAUGUACUUUGACACAAUAGUAAUCAUGGGCCAGGUUUGUGGUGGUUGGAAUGUCGCCAGGACUUCGCAGUGUGACCUCUAUAUUGUCGCUGGAUUAGAUUUCUUUCUCGGGGACCAUGCUGACCCAACUAAUUCAAGUCUGGAAACCAUAGCCUUUAAUUGAUGCAAUUAUGUGGUUAUUUAAUUGAAUUUUCUCUUUUAACACUUUGCUAUAUAGAUUUUUUUUUUCUAAAAGUAUUUUGAAACAUAACAAACAAAAAGACAGUAUACAAAACAUAAACAAAAAGUUUUUAUUUAUAAUGUUUGGAUUAUCAGUAAGGUUGACCCAAAUAGGUACUGUAAAUAAUGUCAUUAUGAUACCAGACACUUGUUAGAUUAUGACAAUGGAAUUGUGUUAACAUAUAUUUAUGAUCUGUUUAUAGUGGCCUCUUUAGUUGAUUAGCUAGCUAUGCAAAUUUACUUACUUAUUUCUUUGUAAUUAUGUAAAUAAUGUCAUUAUGAUAUCAGACACUUGUUAGAUUAUGACAAUGGAAUUGUUAAUAUAUAUUUAUGAGGGGUAUAUAGUGGCCUCUCUAGUUGAUUAGCUAGCUAUGCAAAUUUACUUACUUAUUUCCUUGUAAUUGUGUAAAUAAUGCCAUUAUGAUACCAGACACUUGUUAGAUUAUGACAAUGGAAUUGUUAACAUAUAUUUAUGAUGUGUAUUUGUUGGCUCUCUAGUUGAUUAGCUAGCUAUGCAAAUUUACGUACUUAUUUCUUUGUAAUUAUGUAAAUAAUUUCACGCUUCAUAUAUG